rnacentral:rRNA from 1 species
GAUGAACGCUGGCGGCGUGCCUAACACAUGCAAGUCGAGCGAUUCUCUUCGGAGAAGAGCGGCGGACGGGUGAGUAACGCGUGGGUAACCUGCCCUAUACACACGGAUAACAUACCGAAAGGUAUGCUAAUACGAGAUGACAUAAGAGAUUCGCAUGGAUUUCUUAUCAAAGCUUUUGCGGUAUAGGAUGGACCCGCGUCUGAUUAGCUAGUUGGUAAGGUAACGGCUUACCAAGGCGACGAUCAGUAGCCGACCUGAGAGGGUGAUCGGCCACAUUGGAACUGAGACACGGUCCAAACUCCUACGGGAGGCAGCAGUGGGGAAUAUUGCACAAUGGGCGAAAGCCUGAUGCAGCAACGCCGCGUGAGCGAUGAAGGCCUUCGGGUCGUAAAGCUCUGUCCUCAAGGAAGAUAAUGACGGUACUUGAGGAGGAAGCCCCGGCUAACUACGUGCCAGCAGCCGCGGUAAUACGUAGGGGGCUAGCGUUAUCCGGAAUUACUGGGCGUAAAGGGUGCGUAGGUGGUUUCUUAAGUCAGAGGUGAAAGGCUACGGCUCAACCGUAGUAAGCCUUUGAAACUGAGAAACUUGAGUGCAGGAGAGGAGAGUAGAAUUCCUAGUGUAGCGGUGAAAUGCGUAGAUAUUAGGAGGAAUACCAGUUGCGAAGGCGGCUCUCUGGACUGUAACUGACACUGAGGCACGAAAGCGUGGGGAGCAAACAGGAUUAGAUACCCUGGUAGUCCACGCCGUAAACGAUGAGUACUAGCUGUCGGAGGUUACCCCCUUCGGUGGCGCAGCUAACGCAUUAAGUACUCCGCCUGGGAAGUACGCUCGCAAGAGUGAAACUCAAAGGAAUUGACGGGGACCCGCACAAGUAGCGGAGCAUGUGGUUUAAUUCGAAGCAACGCGAAGAACCUUACCUAAGCUUGACAUCCUUCUGACCUCUCCCUAAUCGGAGAUUUCCCUUCGGGGACAGAAGUGACAGGUGGUGCAUGGUUGUCGUCAGCUCGUGUCGUGAGAUGUUGGGUUAAGUCCCGCAACGAGCGCAACCCUUGCCUUUAGUUGCCAGCAUUAAGUUGGGCACUCUAGAGGGACUGCCAGGGAUAACCUGGAGGAAGGUGGGGAUGACGUCAAAUCAUCAUGCCCCUUAUGCUUAGGGCUACACACGUGCUACAAUGGGUGGUACAGAGGGCAGCCAAGUCGUGAGGCGGAGCUAAUCCCUUAAAGCCAUUCUCAGUUCGGAUUGUAGGCUGAAACUCGCCUACAUGAAGCUGGAGUUACUAGUAAUCGCAGAUCAGAAUGCUGCGGUGAAUGCGUUCCCGGGUCUUGUACACACCGCCCGUCACACCACGGGAGUUGGGGGCGCCCGAAGCCACUUAGCUAACCCUUUUGGGAAGCGAGUGUCGAAGGUGAAAUCAAUAACUGGGGUGAAGUCGUAACAAGGUAGCCGUAUCGGAAGGUGCGGCUGGAUCACCUCCUUUCUAAGGAGAAUUGCCUACUGUUUAAUUUUGAGGGUUUAUUCCUCAAGUUAGUACUUUGAGCAACGGGAUAUUCUCAGAGAGAAUAGAUGUUGGCGAUGUACGUUAGUACUUUGAAAACUGCAUAACAUUUAGUGAUAUGACAUCAUUUAAUUAAUAUAUGGACAAGAAAAGUCCUUAAAAUUACAACUUUAAGCAAAGGGAUUUAUGUGAAUGUAUAUGAACAUAAAGACUUUGGCGAUAACUUUUUAAUAACUGGUCAAGUUAUUAAGGGUGCAGGGCGGAUGCCUUGGCACUAGGAGCCGAUGAAGGACGUGAUAAGCUGCGAUAAGCUUCGGGGAGUUGCACGUAAACUUUGAUCCGAAGAUUUCCGAAUGAGGAAACUCACUUAGAGUAAUGUCUAAGUAUCGUUAAGUGAAUACAUAGCUUAGCGAGGGGAACUCGGGGAACUGAAACAUCUAAGUACCUGGAGGAAGAGAAAGAAAAAUCGAUUCCGUAAGUAGCGGCGAGCGAACGCGGAACAGGCCAAACCAAUGAAGUUUACUUCGUUGGGGUUGCGGACAUGUCAUUAACGAAGAGGUAUCGUAAGUGAAGAGAGUUGGAAAGCUCCGCUAUAAAAGGUAAUAGCCCUGUAGCUGAAACGAGAAGACUUUAGAUGUGAUCCAGAGUACCACGGGACACGUGAAACCCUGUGGGAAGCAGGAGGGACCAUCCUCCAAGCCUAAAUACUACCUAGUGACCGAUAGCGCAU